rnacentral:rRNA from 1 species
UACGGGGGGGGCAAGCGUUGUUCGGAAUUACUGGGCGUAAAGGGCUCGUAGGCGGCCAACUAAGUCGGACGUGAAAUCCCUCAGCUUAACUGGGGAACUGCGUCCGAUACUGGAUGGCUUGGAUUUGGGAGAGGGAUGCGGAAUUCCAGGUGUAGCGGUGAAAUGCGUAGAUAUCGGGAGGAACACCAGUGGCGAAGGCGACUUCCUGGCCUGUUCUUGACGCUGAGGCGCGAAAGCUAGGGUAGCAAACGGG